rnacentral:tRNA from 1 species
GCGGGAAUGGCGGAAUUGGCAGACGCGCUAGUUUCAGGUAUUAGUGAUCGAACGGUCAUGCAGGUUCAAGUCCUGUUUCCCGCACCA